GCCUCCUUGGCUUAGUGGUAAAGCGUCGCACUUGUAAACUGGCUUCCCUUCUCUUCUGAAGAGUGUGUUGGUUCCGAAAUGCGAAGAUCGCUGGUUCAAUUCCGGCAGGAGGCA